UUGAGCUGUUGAAACACCUUUAGAAUGAUGGAACACAACAUGAUUUUGGAAAAUAAACCGAUCGAGGACGACUGCCAUCUAAAAUGCAAGCGACACCUCAUCAGUUUGUUCGGUGAAUCAGCUGCAGAGUAUUUUCUCAGCCCUUCCUCUUGCUCGAAGGAAAUACCCUCUUGGUUUUUACAGCUAAAAGAUGACAUGAAAGAUCACAUGAGUACAGUUACCCUAUGGGAUGCUCUGAGACAACGCUCUGCACAGAUACUGCAAGAAUCAAACACAGAGCCCUCGAUGGCGAUUACUAAUGAGAUUGUGAGAAGGGUGACAGACUGGAAGACACUCAAGAAACAGGAUCAUCUGAUGUACCUAUCAGAGGUGAAAUACAUGUUCCGCUGUGCUCAGCGUAACCAGGCCAUCUCUGCACUCCUUCUACAACAUAACCCUCUUUUUGACUAUGGGUUAAAUAAUGGACUGAACUGAUUCCUGUCUAUUAUGCAGAAUCAACCAAAUGGUGAGGUGAAACAUCAACACAAGGGGAGUGUUGAAAUCAGGGAUAUGUCUCAGAUGAGCAAGACAUUUAGGACAUAGGCAAACUGUAUUUUUUUUCUGUAACUUUUAAUGUUCAGUUGCCCCAUUUAAAAACUUGCACAGGCUUGAUAAAUGAGUCAGUUAAUGUGAUGCACUGUAGUAGGCAUUUGUACUUGCCCUUCCCUACCAUCGGAGGGCAGCAGAUUGUGAAUUUGGCUUUUAAUCUUAUUACCGAAAUAAUUCUUUUUCUCUAGCACUCAUCUGGUUUUUGCUUCAGGACCCAGACUGUACUUAUCCAACACAUAUAUAAAAACAAUAUUAUAACCUGUAUAUAUUGCCAUCUGUGUCAUAUUUUAUUGUGUGCAGUUAGACUUGAUAAGCAUAUUUUGUUUGAUAUUUAAUCUUGCUAUUAUAUUUUAUGUUUUUGAUUUUUGCAUUUAGCAUUGUUUUGUUUUUUUACCUGUGAAUCUAUGACUCUAGGCCCACCAGUUAAGUAACUGUAAUUAGCCUAUAUAAAAGCUGAAUACACAAUUUCAUUUUUUCCCCCUUGCAUUACAUUAUCUCUUCUGUGCCUCGUUAAUGUAUAUCUCAGCAAGUCAAGUAUAUCUUCAGGUGUUCAGCCUAUGUGCAACAAAGAUACCUGUUAACAGGUGAGAAGUCACUUGACAGGAGGCAGUGUCUCCACGUCACGUUGAAAUGACAUGAAACGAUAAGUGAGUGAAACAGUUUUUAGUGAAUAAAUACGUCAUUUAAUUUAAGUGGUGCAUCAUGCCUGCUAUCGUCAAUAAACUUAAGUUGCAGUAGGUGGUAAUACAUUUGCAGGGUGUCAUAUAAACAAGUUAAAUUUAAGAAUUUAAUUUAAAGACCUUGUUAAUACCAUCUUAUAUGAAAUUUAAGACCAAACCUAGAUUACAUGCAUGCACCGAUGAUUUUUAAUGGCUGAUUCAGGUUUUUUUUUUUUUUAAGCAAAUUUAUUUGUUGUUUAUUUGCUCUAUAGAAGGCAAACUGGCUUAAACAUGUAUAUUUUUCUUCCUAUGUUUCGAGCAAGGUGAACAUCUUGCUCUGGCUGCUGUAAACGGUCUGUCAGACUGGAGAAAUUUUUGCGGUAACCAAAAACAUUUUAAAUCCACCAAAACUGAAUUUAAGAGAACUUAAUACGUUUUAAAGGCCUUUAAUUAGGAAAACGUUAUUUAAACCUGGACGCUUAACUAUUAAAUAAAACUAGAACAUGACUACAAAAUGACUAAAAAACAAACGCAGUGGAGACUGUCUCCUUAUUUACAAGAUCACCAUAAAGUUACAAACGGGCGUAUACAUUAAACGUGUCAUUUGAGGACUAUGUAAAACACAAGCCAUGACGUUGUCAUACAAACACAGUUACCUGUUCAAUACAGCGCGAGGAAAAACCGCGUGGACUCCACCUUCAGAAGUGAGCUUAGUUUGUAUAUAAACAGGUGAACGCGCUGCUCGCGAGAGGAGCGCUGCUGCUGCUGCUUAUGAGAGUCAACCCACAGGUAAGAGUUAAAUCUCUGCUGUCUAACUUUGUACUUUGAUUCAUUUACAUGCACUUUUACCGGUUUUAAUCUUAUUUUUAAAAGAUUAAACUCUUAGUAUGUUGCACAUAUAAACUGGGAAGCCACAAUUUAUAUGAACUUCUGAUUUCAAGUGCAGUGCUGCACAUUUCCCGU
ensembl:lncRNA